CUACGGGGUGCAGCAGUGGGGAAUUUUGCGCAAUGGGGGAAACCCUGACGCAGCGAUACCGCGUGAGUGAAGAAGGCCUUUGGGUCGUAAAGCUCUUUUCCAAGGGAAGAUAGUGACGGUACCUUAGGAAUAAGCGCCGGCUAACUCCGUGCCAGCAGCCGCGGUAAUACGGAGGGCGCGAGCGUUGUUCGGAUUUACUGGGCGUAAAGGGCGCGUAGGCGGCCUGGCAAGUUAAGGGUGAAAUCCCGGGGCUCAACCCCGGAACUGCUCUUAAAACUGCCAAGCUAGAGAUGGUCAGAGGCGGGUGGAAUUCCAGGUGUAGAGGUGAAAUUCGUAGAUAUCUGGAGGAACACCGGUGGCGAAGGCGGCCCGCUGGGGCCAUUCUGACGCUGAGGCGCGAAAGCGUGGGGAGCGAACGGGAUUAGAUACCCGGGUAGUC
rnacentral:rRNA from 1 species